rnacentral:rRNA from 1 species
GACGAACGCUGGCGGCGUGCCUAAUACAUGCAAGUAGAACGCACAGUUUAUACCGUAGCUUGCUACACCAUAAACUGUGAGUUGCGAACGGGUGAGUAACGCGUAGGUAACCUGCCUGGUAGCGGGGGAUAACUAUUGGAAACGAUAGCUAAUACCGCAUAAUAUUGAUUAUUGCAUGAUAAUUGAUUGAAAGAUGCUAUUGCAUCACUACCAGAUGGACCUGCGUUGUAUUAGCUAGUAGGUGAGGUAACGGCUCACCUAGGCGACGAUACAUAGCCGACCUGAGGAGGUGAACGGCCACACUGGGACUGAGACACGGCCCAGACUCCUACGGGAGGCAGCAGUAGGGAAGCGUCGGCAAUGGACGAAAGUCUGACCGAGCAACGCCGCGUGAGUGAAGAAGGGUUUCGGAUCGUAAAGAUCUGUUGUAAGAGAAGAACGGGUGUGAGAGUGGAAAGUUCACAAUGUGACGGUAUCUUAGCAGAAAGGGACGGCUAACUACGUG